rnacentral:misc_RNA from 1 species
AAGCUUGGAUGCCGUCGGGACGGCACAAACAAAAACUGUGGUUCGGAUGUGCCUUUUUCUUUGGGUGGCCUCCGUUCCUUUCAAUGAUGCGUCCAGCGGGAGCCCUCUGCUGCCUCGAUUUUAGAGGAGAUUCAAGUGCACCGGGACAAUCCGUGGGUUACAAAAGACGCAUCGCCCUCUUCUCGAGGAUCGCCCUUGUUUUGAUAAACUAGAGGCGUUUGGUGAGGUGGCUUUUUUUGUGCUUUCGAGAUGGCAUGGGAUGUGCCGGGCGCAAAAAACAACAGCAAACGUGUUUUGUCGUACUGAUUGAAAAAACACGA